rnacentral:tRNA from 1 species
CAGUUUUGUAGUUUAAUUCAGAAUGCUAACUUUGGGGGUUAGUGGUCUC